CACCUACUCCCUCCGUUCGGAAAUAUUUGUCAUCAAAAUGAAUAAAAAGAGAUGUUCUCUUACAUCCCUUUUUAUUCAUUUUGAUGACAAGUAUUUCUGGACGAAGAAAGUACAUA
rfam:Triticum urartu cultivar G1812 contig879275, whole genome shotgun sequence.